UGCGAGUCAUUGUAGUAAUACAAGGCAGACGGCUCAGUAACGCGUAGCUCAACUCUAACCUAUGGACGGGAAUAACCUCGGGAAACUGAGUAUAAUGCCCGAUAGAACAUUAUGCCUGGAAUGGUUUAUGUUCCAAAUGAUUUAUCGCCGUAGGAUGGGACUGCGGCCUAUCAGUUUGUUGGUGAGGUAAUGGCCCACCAAGACUAUUACAGGUACGGGCUCUGAGAGGAGUAGCCCGGAGAUGGGUACUGAGACACGGACCCAGGCCCUAUGGGGCGCAGCAGGCGAGAAAACUUUGCAAUGUGCGAAAGCACGACAAGGUUAAUCCGAGUGGUUUCUGCUAAAGGAACCUUUUGUCGGUUCUAGAAACACUGAUGAAUAAGGGGUGGGCAAGUUCUGGUGUCAGCCGCCGCGGUAAAACCAGCACCUCAAGUGGUCAGGAUGAUUAUUGGGCCUAAAGCAUCCGUAGCCGGCUUUGUUAGUUUUCGGUUAAAUCUGUACGCUCAACGUACAGGCUGCCGGGAAUACUGCAGAGCUAGGGAGUGGGAGAGGUAGACGGUACUCGGUAGGAAGGGGUAAAAUCCUUUGAUCUAUUGAUGACCACCUGUGGCGAAGGCGGUCUACCAGAACACGUCCGACGGUGAGGGAUGAAAGCUGGGGGAGCAAACCGGAUUAGAUACCCGGGUAGUCCCAGCUGUAAACUAUGCAAACUCAGUGAUGCAUUGGCUUGUGGCCAAUGCAGUGCUGCAGGGAAGCCGUUAAGUUUGCCGCCUGGGAAGUACGUACGCAAGUAUGAAACUCAAAGGAAUUGACGG
rnacentral:rRNA from 1 species